GGUUUCUCGUUUGAUGGAGUCGAUGGGCAAUGAACUAUUCCGGAUGAAUUGACAUUUAUGAAAAUGGGCGAAAGUCAUUUCGCAAUUAUGGACAAAAAGGAGAUGGAUUUUAUAAGAGAUAAGAAUCUCUAUAAUUGUCAAUAUCCGCACUCUGCCACUUUGACAUAAUUUGCUAUAAUCUCUUAGUUUGGAAAUCUGAUCAAUAAUCGAAUCAAGAGUCUGUGCAUCGAAAGAAACAGUAUAGAGCUGGGUACUUGUCUAGUUUCUUUUGUCAAACUGCC